AGAGCUGUAGCUCAGUGGUAAGAGCAUUUGGCUGAUAUCCAAAAGGUCGGUGGUUCAAUCCCACCCAGCUCUACCA
rnacentral:tRNA from 1 species